rnacentral:rRNA from 1 species
GAUGAACGCUAGCUACAGGCUUAACACAUGCAAGUCGAGGGGCAGCAUGAAAGGAACUUCGGUUCUUUUUGAUGGCGACCGGCGCACGGGUGCGUAACGCGUAUCGAACCUGCCUCAUACUCGGGGAUAGCCUUGCGAAAGUAAGAUUAAUACCCGGCGGUCUCGGACGGCCGCAUGACAGUCCGAGUGAAGAUUUAUCGGUAUGAGAUGGCGAUGCGUCCCAUUAGCUUGUUGGUGAGGUAAUGGCUCACCAAGGCAUCGAUGGGUAGGGGUUCUGAGAGGAAGGUCCCCCACAUUCGGAACUGAGACACGGUCCAA